rnacentral:ncRNA from 1 species
UCCUGAAAAAGGCAAACUUAGCGAAAGCUAAGGGCGCAAAACUGCGGGACUAAGGUAGAAGUAGUGCUAUGUCAGCCGGGUUGCCAGG